CCUAAUAACCAUCUCUCUUCCUCCGAUUAUUAGCUUCAAUGAUUUGCAAUCAUUAGGAUGGAGAAAUAAGUUUGGAAACAAAUUGUGAAAAAAAGAUGGCAAACCUACUAAUAAUCAAUGUAUUUCAAUGGUUAACUGGUUUCACUGUUCAAGCCCUAAUCUCCAAGUGGGUAAGGAUUUUCGAUGAAAAUUCAAGAUUAAAGGACUUCCAAUGAUGAGUAAAAAAAGAAACGUAGACUCGAGUGAUUUAAGCGUUUGUACUUUUUAUUUUAUUUGAAACCAUUUUACAGCUUCCAAUUGAUACAUUUCACAUAUUAUAUCACACAGAUGAUAUUAUCAAGUAAAACAAGGAAAAUGAAACCACAUACAGGGACAAUGUUGGAUUUGUGUAUAUUUUUUUCACUCCAUUGUGGUUGAAGUUAUGGAAGUUGAACAGAAGUCAUAAGGAUGAUGAUAAUGAUAAUGCGGUUGUUACAAUUGUUAUCCUCAAGUUAAUGAUAGAACAUGAUUUUCAAGGAUUUAUCAAGCAAACAAAGUAAACCAUUUAUUGAACGAGAAGACUUUAAUACCCAUGGUUUCAUCGGAUAUUAUUAUUGUUGUGCUUUUAUUUGGUGUUUAGUUUUAUGAUUGUGAUGAUUAAAUUGUUCAUCUGAUCAGUUAAUCCGUUCUGGAAAGGAACAAUCUUCUCAUGAAAUUCAUUUUCAAUCCUGUUUUUAGAUUUCAACUGUACUUCGUUGUGAUUAUUAUUUUUCCUGGUCCUUUCAGUAUUUAACAGCAAUUUUAUCUGUAAUUUAAUAUCACAUAUACCUUGAA